rnacentral:rRNA from 1 species
AGCGAACGCUGGCGGCAGGCUUAACACAUGCAAGUCGAGCGGGCAUCCUUGUGGUGUCAGCGGCAGACGGGUGAGUAACGCGUGGGAACGUGCCCUUCGGUUCGGAAUAACUCAGGGAAACUUGAGCUAAUACCGGAUACGUGCGAGAGCAGGAAGGUUUAUCUGCCGAAGGAUCGGCCCGCGUCUGAUUAGCUAGUUGGUGAGGUUACGGCUCACCAAGGCGACGAUCAGUAGCUGGUCUGAGAGGAUGAUCAGCCACACUGGGACUGAGACACGGCCCAGACUCCUACGGGAGGCAGCAGUGGGGAAUAUUGGACAAUGGGGGCAACCCUGAUCCAGCCAUGCCGCGUGAGUGAUGACGGCCUUAGGGUUGUAAAGCUCUUUUCUCCGGGACGAUAAUGACGGUACCGGAGGAAUAAGCCCCGGCUAACUUCGUG